rnacentral:lncRNA from 1 species
GUUGUGCGCCAGCUUUAGUAGGCUCUCCCUCGCGGAGACGCCUACAUUUGAUGAGUAUCCCAACAACGUGCUAGUCUUCGACGGUCCACCGUCGUCUACGGGAUGCCUUACCCCGUAUGACGUCGCCGUCGUCUCCAACGUUGUGGAGGUGAUGGUCAUCGGUGCCGGCACCAGCACGGCUCACGGCAAGGCGUCAGCUAACGCUGGUGAUCCUGCUGCUGUAUCCGUCGACACGCUUCAUGUUGGGGAACGUCGCAU